UUGGUUUGAUACGGGUGGUCGGCUCCCUGCUUGAGCAGGCACGGCCACGCGUGCAUUCCUUUUCAGAUGUGCGGCAAGGCUUGUAUGGUCUUGAYCGUAUAAGUGGGUUUCCUGUGUUGAAUACCUGAUCAACGGCAUCGUUUCGAUCAAAAGCGUACCUUUUUCGUCUACUGUUGCACCCGCACCAUUGGAUGAACCGUGUAGCAUUCUCUUUGAUCCAUACAAUUGACAUUCAUUGUUAGUUGUUUGGCCCAUUGAGCGUGUCUUGGUCCCUUGAAUAUGGAAGCCAAAGUGGGCACGGGAUCGCAAGAUCCGUUUAGUGCCCUAAUUGAGCGUUUUCGCUUCUCUUACACGACUGCCUCUCACGUAUGGCAYGUCCCAGCGUGUUUGGCUAUGUCGAAGAGGAAUGU
rnacentral:misc_RNA from 1 species